rnacentral:rRNA from 1 species
GACGAACGCUGGCGGCGUGCCUAAUACAUGCAAGUAGAACGCUGAAGGAAGGAGCUUGCUCUUUCCGGAUGAGUUGCGAACGGGUGAGUAACGCGUAGGUAACCUGCCUGGUAGCGGGGGAUAACUAUUGGAAACGAUAGCUAAUACCGCAUAACAGUAGAUAUCGCAUGAUAGCUGCUUGAAAGGUGCAAAUGCACCACUACCAGAUGGACCUGCGUUGUAUUAGCUAGUUGGUGAGGUAACGGCUCACCAAGGCAACGAUACAUAGCCGACCUGGGAGGGUGAUCGGCCACCCUGGGACUGAGGCACGGCCCAGACUCCUACGGGAGGCAGCAGUAGGGAAUCUUCGGCAAUGGACGGAAGUCUGACCGAGCAACGCCGCGUGAGUGAAGAAGGUUUUCGGACCGUAAAGCUCUGUUGUAAGAGAAGAACGAGUGUGAGAGUGGAAAGUUCACACUGUGACAGUAUCUUACCAGAAAGGGACGGCUAACUACGUGCCAGCCGCCGCGGUAA